rnacentral:rRNA from 1 species
UACGUAGGGACCGAGCGUUGUCCGGAUUCAUUGGGCGUAAAGAGCUCGUAGGCGGCCACUCAAGUCGAAUGUGAAACCUCGAGGCUUAACCUCGAGCCUGCAUUCGAUACUGGGCGGCUAGAGUCUGGUAGGGGGAUCUGGAAUUCCUGGUGUAGCGGUGGAAUGCGCAGAUAUCAGGAGGAACACCGGUGGCGAAGGCGGGAUCCUGGGCCAGUACUGACGCUGAGAAGCGAAAGCAUGGGGUGCGAACAGG